UCAAGCCUACGCAAAGCACAUUCAUAUACUGACCGGCCAAACCUGAAACUCCUCCAUUCUCAACUCCUCUCUCUCUCUCUCUCUCUCUCUCUCUCUCUCUCUCUCUUUCCCUUUCUACAUCUUCUUACGUCGCCGAUUCCGAUAAGCCGGUGGAAGAGAAAGGCGCAGUUUACCAGCGGGCCAUGCCGAUGCCGGAAAUAGGAAGUUCGUGUUGGAAGAACAAAGUUGUGGUUACAGAGACUGAUGCUUGAUCCAAUUGAACACAAUCUAAGAACAAUGUUAUGGUUACAGAGACUGAUGCUAGAUCCAAUUGAACACAAUCUAAGAUAAGGUAUGCUACUUUUUACAUGUACAUAUGAGUAGGUGUAAGAAUAUUGUUCUACCUGUGUUUAUGUACUUAUUUUGGAUAUAGUUGCUGGGUCCGAGGUUCCCUUUUAAACUUUUUCUAAAUGAUGAUCAAAUCUUAUGUUCUUAAUGUUAUUCUUCCUCUUCUUUGAGAUUUUUUUGUAACACUCCUUCCCUCCCACUCCAUGAAAUAUGGUUCUUAUCAAUUGUUUUUUUUCUUAGUUGCUGUUGUACUUAGUUUGAGGGAUGGUACAAGUCUACAUGCCUGUUUCUGAUACAAUUACAUGUUGGUAAAGUUUCCCUCUUUGAAAUCUUUUUCGAUGGUCCAAAAAUGUGAUAAAAGUUGUUGCACUUGCUUGUGCAUGGUUAUACUAAACAUUUGUAGCCUUUUACCAUGUCUCUGAGGAAAUUUUCCAAUAAGCUGUAUGAGAAAGGAAAAGGCAAUCCUAUUCUAUUUGGGUAAAGUUUCCCUCUUUGAAAUUUUUUCUAUGGACCAAGAAUGUGAUAAAAGUUUUACACUUUCUUGUGCACGAUUACCACGGCUCUGAGGAACUUCGGCAAUAAGCUGUAUGAGAAAGAAAAAGGAAAAUGUGAAGAAGAGAUCUCCGAGUGCAGUAUUUGUGAUAAACAGGCCUGCUUUGCUAUCCUCUGCAUUGGAUGGUGGACCAAAAUUUAGAGGCGCCUAUGCCAUUUCAAAGGCUAAAGUUAUAGUAUGAUCCUCAGUUUCAGCUUAUGUUGUAGGUUUUCUGUAUGAAACUGAUGAUCUCCAAGUGCCAAAACAAAUUACGUCCCGUACUCAGCAUUAUGCUAAUGAAGUUGAUAAUGGCGAUUCUCAUUUUCCUCCAAACAAUUAUAAAAAGUAGGCUACAUAAACCUUUGUACCCAUUCCGGUUGUUAGUAUCACUUAUCAUUAUUACCUAAUUUUCUAGAAGUUGUACUUACGGCAUAUGGUCUCUAGUGACCCCACCACCCCUAAAGAGUAAAAGAAUAAUGAAGUCAAUAGAUAUCUAAGUGAAGGUAUGUUUCCCUUCCUAGGCCUUCAUUUUCUUCUCCUACAAUGGGUGCUAGGUUAAAUGAUAUUUGCAGCACACGUGAUUCUCAAGCCCACCACAUUAUAUUAUUAUUGUUAUCUCAGUGUUGCUUUUUGUUUCUAUUUUAUUGGCCCAUUAUUGGUUCUACCAGCCCAUCUCAAGCUCUCAACAUGCGGAAUAAUAACUUUUUUAUUAUCUUGAUGUUGCCUUGAAAUAUUCUCUCAGAACUCCUUCUGGUGAGUUUUACAUUUUAUUUCUUUUUGUUUGUCAAAUCAAUUUUCAGUAUCUAUUUAUUUUGCUUUAUCUUGUGCAUAUGCACAUUCAAAGAAUAACAAUACACAUUUAUGGUGAAAGGUAGAAUUUGACUCUUCUAGUGGCAUGCAUGUGUGUUUCAUUCUUAUAUAAAGAGAACUCUAUCCUUAUAUAAAUGCCCAGUUAAAAUAUCAAUCUGUCCCUCUAUUUCUAGAAAGGAAGUUUUUUAUCUUCUAGUGUUUAUUUUCAUUGAAAUUUCUCUUUUAAGAAUAGUUUAGCUGUUUUAUGUGGUUACACAGCACCUUUUUGGCAUUUUUAGAUAAGCAGAACCUAUUGCAUCUAUGCAUUGAGGAAGGUAUGAGUUGUCCCUCCAUGUUAGUCUAUGGACUGAUAAAAUAUUUCCAAGUAGUUUUAAACUGCCCUGUCAAUGCAUGCUCUAAUUUUUCUCAAGACAAAGGAUUCCAAGAAAGUAUAUAUAUUACAUCUCGAGAGCAUUGAAAUUAUGAAUAUGAGUAGACUGUUGCAUCAUUAUGCUUGCUGUCAAAUUUUAAUAUAAUUAUUUUUAUGAAUAAAACUUUUGUUUGCCUCUGUGUUAGCUGAUUAAGAUGCCAUGUAAUCUUACUAGUUAUGUUGGCUGAUGUAGUUUUCUGUGAAUGGAAAAUCUUACUGGUUAUGUUGGUUGAUGAAGUUUUCUUUUGUAAUUCUGCUUCCAAUAUACUCGACAGGUCAAAAUUCUUUUGAAUUGGAAAAUCUACAGUUUAUGUGAAUUUUAAACAAGUUAUACUUGACAGGUCAAAAUUUUUUAACCUAUAAUUAAUUUGGACAUAUUUCAACUUCAGUGCACGCUGAAGGAGAUAAUAUUUUCCUUACAUGCAGGUCUGGCUUUAUGAAAUUAGUUGCUUAUGUCAUGCUAGCUUGUACUCUUAAAUGUUGUAACUUCAUGUAUGUACAAUUUUAUGUUAAUUUUUCCAUGGCAAAUCAUUUGGUAUACCUUGAUUCUUGGUAAAAUUUUAAAAAAGAACUUUGACAAAGAUUUUAUGCAGGACAUUGAACUUGAAUAGCGUUAUUAUAUUACUGGUCUAUGUUGUUGCUUUAUGUGCUUUCCAAUCUGCUUUGCGCUAUCAUUUGUGGGGUUGGACAUCUUGUGGCACUUGGGUUAUGUGAAGGUUUUUCCACAUUUGGUAGGAUUAUUCUAAAAAAUUUAUAUAAUGCCUAAGGCAACUUCUUGAAUACCAUAUUAUAAUAGAAGAUUUUCUAGUUGAGUAUUGGUAGACUUUUUUAUGUAUUUUUUUUUUAUUUUUUUUUAAUGAUGCUUUUCUAGUAUCUGCUAAAAUAAGUUAAACCCAGGAUCAUUUGUUAGUUUUGUUGAUGAAUAAUUUGAGUUUCUGUCUAUUAAUUGUGGGAAUCAUUGCAUGUAUUUGAUUAAAAAUAAGCUUUAAUAAGUUGGUCUACUGAGGUUAUUACAUCUGUAUACCAGGAAGUAUUAUUAGCUACUGCAUAAAAAUUCAAUGCAGCAUUGCAAUACAUAUUCAGGCAUAUCACAUAUUAAGGCAUAUGCAUAUCACAUUUGCCUUUUUGUAAAAAGAUACUUUAUGUUCUAUUUCUUUCUUCCACCCAACUGCAUAUUUAUCUGUAUUGUCUUCUCUACCUUUUGAGAAAUAGCUUUUUACAUUCAUUCACAGGAAUGUUUCGGUCCUCUUUUUUGGUGGAAUAAAUUUUUCCAUGUAUGAUAUUGUUGUCAAAAUGACUUUCUAUUAUCCUAUUUUUUAUCUUGUAAUGAAUUGAUUUAUUAAGUUCUACUAGAGAUUUUUUUUUUUUUUUUUGGGCCAAGUAUGAAUGGUGCUCUUAUUUUUGGUGGUAUUUUGCUUUGUUAAUGACAAAACUAUGUUUCUAUCAUAAUGUUCUUUUAUAUCUCAUGAUGUGUGCAAUGUGAUGAAGCGUCUAACUCAAAGACAUUGACAACGAUAGAGUUUCAAGUUUAUUAUAAUCAAAUUGCUAUUUAAUGUUUUCUUAAUAUGUUUGACACUUUCUUGGAGAGAUGUUCUCUGACAGUAAGAUGCUUUGUGAUAGGGGUUCGGUUCAUAUUAACUUAAAUAUAUAUACAAGUGUAGAUCUGUUUUGUUUUCUAUGUCAGUGCUAAUUACAGAACAAGGUUGUGGUUACAGAGACUGAUGCUGGAAUCACUGUAACCCAAUCUAAGGUAAGCAAUGCAAUUGUUUAUAUGUGCAUAUGAGUCGGUGAAAAGUGUAUUAUCCUAUCUAUAGUUCUAGUUUCGCUUCUGAUAUUUUUAAUGACGAUCAUACCUCAUGUUCUUAAUGUUAUUCUUCCUCUUCUUUGAAAAUAUUUUGUAACACUCCCCCUCCCGUUCUCUAAAUUUAGUUCUUACCCAUCAAGGUUUUACAUAGUCAUUGCACUUAGUUUGAUUGAUUGUACAAUCCCACAUGCCUGAAUAUGAUUGAUACACAAUUGCAUUAGUCGCUUUAAUAUAAUCUGUAAAGCAUGAAUAUUUCCAUGUUUAAAAUCUUUUCUAUGGAUCAAGAAUGUGAUAAAAGUUGAUACACUUUGGGUCAUCUCAGUGAUCAUUGAACCAUGGAGAAUAUUUGUAGCCUUUUCUGCCACUCUGAGAAACUUUGGCAAUAAUCUGUAUUGAAAGAAAAAGGUAAAACCCUAUCUUAUUUCAUUAUAAGCAUGGAACUACUUUAUAGAGUUUUGAAAUCGAGCUUUUACUUUUCUUAAUCAAGUAAUAAAAAAUUUGUUGGACCAAUAUGAUGGCAAGUUUUUGACUUUUUUGCAAUUAGAAAGAGAGUAUCAGGAUUGGAUUCUUCACAUGCAUGAUCAGUAUGAAGAAGAAACUGAUCAUGGAAAAGAUCAACCUGUUCUUGCUGUCAGCCCGACAAACAAAAUGACAAUUUGCAUUUCAUAUGAUUGUGUCUAUAAAGUGAUCAGCAGUACUAUUUUCUGAAUCGAUAGAUCCUUUUGUUUUGUUCUUCCAAUUCAUUCUUGUCCUUUCUUUUCAAAUCUAUGGCUUUCAUUCUGACCCUAUUUCUAUCUUGUGUUAGCUAAUCUUAUAAUUGACUAUAAUUGCAGUUACAAAAGUGCACAAGAUUCAAAACAGGAAGGCUGUAACCUGGAAAUCUUGGCAAAAAAAUCAAGCUGCUUCUGAUGGGAGCAUGUGCUAGGGUUCAUAAAAUUAAUAUCUAUAUGGUGGACUGUUUUUUUUAUUCCUAACAAUCUUUGAAGAUAAAUGUGGCUAAAAUGAUAUAUUUUAGUUGAUUGCUAAGUUUCUAUAAAUCCCUUGCAUGUUUAGUUGUUUCUUGAUAAUCUUUAUUAGCAUAAAGCAUCUAGGAUUGUAUAGUAUCCUGUUAUAUCUUUGUCAUGUUGAGAUUUUAUACUUGGAUAGUGACUAAAUAAGUAAAUGGCAUGCUUAACAAAAUUUUUGCUCUUUUUCUUCUUCUAUGGAACCUUAUCUACUGAAGACACCAAGUGGGUUAUCCAACGUAGUGGAAGCAAUGAAACAAAUAGAAAGCAUAGGUAACUCCUCUGCUGCUUUUGUUCUCUGUCAUCUUCGUAGAGAAGUUCCAGUCCAAGAGCCACAUAGUCAUUUCAUAGGAGGUAUAGUUUGGCUUGUGGAUCUACUUGGUAGAGUUCAUUCCACUGAACUUAGCAAGUACAAUUCCUGUGCACUACCAUUGGAGCAGGGAAAAGCAAAGAGAGAAUGGGUGUUUGAACACUAUUACAAAUUCCUAAAAGUUGAAUUCCCAAUUAAAGUACCAAUAAGAGUAGAGAAAAGAAAGAAAGGAGAGAGAAGAAAGGAAACAAGAGAGAGUAUAUCAGUGUGGGAGUUUCCUAAACCAUUUAUAACUGAGGAAAAAAAAAAAAAUUAUGAAAACAACGAAAACAGAGGUAAUAUCCUAUUUCCGGCAGGAAAAGAACAGCAUCUUUUUUUGUUUGAGCUGACCCUUGAAGGGAUGGUAAAAUAUGUCAUUAUAGUAUGAGUGCUUAUGUUACUGGCAUAGGGAGGUCAAACACAUCAGCAGUCUUUUCCUUGGGUAGCUUGUCUUCUAUAUCUUAUGAUGUGUUGUGGACACACUUUGUAAGAGUUUUUUGUGUAGAUGCUAAGGUUUGUUGUAUAUGCUAAGAUAAACUAUCUAUGAUGAACUUGCAAUAGAUAUCUAGUUUUUUUUCUCUUUACGUUGCUUCUUCUAUUUAUAUUUUAAAAACAGAAAUCCCCUAUGGUUUCAUUUUAAUGUCAUUCCAGAUUAUAUUCAAUGCUUGGCAUUGGACUGCAUUUUCAUGUGUAAUCAAUUUCUCUUUCCUUUUACAGGUAGUUGUAUGCAAAAUCCUAUAGAUAUGUUUGUAUUCUGCAGAAGCAAGUCAAAUAUCUCCUGUGUCUACAAACCAACUCUGUGACUGUGACUGGUAACCUGUAGCCUCAUUUUUUUCCUUUUAAGAUCAUGUUUAUUUUCACACAGGUUUCCAUCGUGACUUCCAUUAUUUUGCCUAUAUUUAUGGUAUUUGGUGGCCUAAUACUCUUUUAACAGUGAGGACAAAAAACAAAGGAAAUUAUCUUUUACUUUUAGUGUUCUGUGUUCUUAAAGUUUAUAUUUAGUAGAACUGAUAAAAUUUGAAUAUCUUUCAGUUGUUUUAUUUCCUUAAACUUCAACAAUAACUUUUUCUGUUUCUUCCAAGACCAUGAACACAAGACAGUUAUUUAUCAGAAAAUGUGUUUGGAAAGAACUUGCUUUUAUUUUCUUACUCUGCUGAAAAUUGAAUCGCAGUCCCUUUCCCUCAAAGAAUGGAUGAACAAACCCAAUGCUUCAUCAAGAAUAAACCUGAACCAUAAGGCCAAACAUGAGGAAAAGUAAAAAGUUCUUUGUAAUGUUCUUGUUACUAUUCUUCAAUACUUUGGCCUCUUUCCUUUGUAAUGUUCUUUUUACUGUUCUUCAAUACUUUGGUCUCUUCUUUGUUUUAGAAUGUCUUCUUCUUCUUCAAUAUUUCCUUGGUAUAUGUUCUUUUCUCAAUUCUGAUUAUCUUUUUAUAUCAGUAAAUUGGAAUAAUAUGCAUGUAUUUAACAAAAUUAUUAACUGUUCCAUUGUUUUUAGAGAGUGAAGCGGUUGAGACAUAAAGUACAGAGAUAAGCAUUCGUUUUAGAUUACUUUCCACCGAAUAUUAUAACUACCUUCAAGCAUAAGAUUUGGUUAUUUGGCACUUUUAAAAAGAUGAUUAGUUGAAUUUUUACUGUCCAAAAUGUUGUCACCUAUUGCCUAUUUAAUUUUUCCAAAAUGUUAAAAGUCCUUUUGAAGAAUUAUAGGAAAAGCCUUGUAAUUUGCACGCAUAAACUCCUAGAAAGCCUGAAGGUUUUUAUAAUAUAUAAUGAUUUGUUUUUUAAUAUUUGUCUGUGAUGUAUCUUUUAAUAAAUAUUUGUGCAAAUUAUUAGGUCACUAAGAAAAUCUGCCAAUACAGAUAUUAUAAUAUAAUUCUAAAAACUUUAAAAAAUUAAAUUUUGAAAACUUUUUUUUAUAAUUUAAUUUAUCUUUAAUAAUAUUUUUUUCAAAAAAAUUAUUAUUUCUCUUAGUAAAUUCCCCCCCCCCCCCCCUCUUUCUUGUUUUUUUUGUUAUUAUUUGCUGUUUUUGUUGCUGCAUGUUUUUUCAUUGGUUUCAUGAUUUCAAAGGGGCUCUGAUCUUAUUGUUUCCUACUGUUCUGUAUGAUUUUAAUGCAUAAUGAGUUCUUAUGUCGAUUAUUAUGUUUGAUUUAUUUUAUAAAAAAAAAAAAAUUAUGUGCAUCUAGUUUAAAUAAAUAAGUGCUUUUGUCAUUUCAAGAUUUCUCACGUCCAAAACAAUUGAAUUGAUUGUGAAAAGAAAUAUAGCAUUUGAAACAGAAACACAAUAACUAAUAUAAUGUCUUGAAACAGAUUAGAAAUUAUUAGGAAGUUGCAAGUUUCUCAGCUUCCUGAUGAGCCUUAAUUAAAAUAAAGGACUUAAGAUCUAGUUGAAACAAAGAAAAGCCAGUACUCCUACUUUUAUAUAGCUCGAUUCCAUAAGAGCUUUAAAAUUAUUGAAUCUUUAUCUUUCUUACUUACUAGUAUAAUUCAUCAAAAGUUAAUUAAAGAUCAAUAAUCACGCACUUUAGUUUGUCCCACCAUGCAUUCAAAUGUGUGCAAAAUAGCUUAGACAAAAAAUAAAAUAAUAACUAGUUUCUGUUUACAACAUCAUUAAAGUAAAAGAAGGAGAAGCAUCCAACCUCUUUCUUUUUUUGGUCAGCAACCAACUUUGAUUUGAUUCCCAUUUUCAGCUAGGAGCUUUCAUAUCAUAUUUACCUUGGGUGACAAGCCUGCAUUAAUUGCUAAAUGUCUAAACUAGAGAUAUAAAUUAAUUGGCCAGUUCAAUCCAGGUGCAGUACUUUUUGAGCAUUGCUGAACCUCUGGUAUCUGCAAUCCUAAAGCAGCUAGUUUCCAUCACUCGUCAAUUGAUUGAAGAAGAGGUGAAGCUGAUCAAUAUGUUGCUAAAGAUGUUGCAAAGCUCACAAGCAAUCUUCAAGCAUUCAGGCUGUUCUUGAGUUUGCAGCAAAGAAAGAUUGGUUAGAGAAGCUCAAAGAAGUAUCCUUUGACAUGGAUGACAUGUUAGAUGAGUGAGGCAUUUCUAUUCUCAAAUCAAAAUUUGUUCAGGAAGGAGGAGGAGGAGAUCAUGAUCAAAACAAAGCUCUCUAUACCAUUACCAAUAAUAAGAAGGUUUGUUUUUCUGUGCCCUGUUCUUGUUUUUAACUGCAAAUGAGAAAAAUAGAUACUCUGUUAACCUUGUAGAGGCCAUAGUGCACAAGUACCUGGACGAUCAAAAACUACCUCCUUUGUUGAUGUACCCAAAAUACAAACAAGCUGCUCAGUGAGGGGUCAUGGGAAGGGAGGGCUAGGAAUCAUUCCCAUUGUAGGAAUGGGAGGAGUAGGUAAACUACUCUCGCCCAACUUGUAUAUAAUGAUGAUCAAAAUCAUGGCUUUUGGGUAUGUGUCUCUGUUCCUUUUGUCCAGAUCAAUAUUGCUAGAGCAAUCAUUGAAGCUUUAGAUUAUAAAGUUGAACUUUCUAUUGAAUUGGAAACUUGUUUACAACGUGUUCGUCAAUAUGCUGAAGGAAAGAAGUUCCUUCUUGUCUUAGACAUUGUAUGGAGACGAUGACCAAAAGUGGGAACAAUUGAAGCAGCCACUCACAUAUGGUGGUGUAGGAAGUAAUAUUUUAGUCACUACAUGAAAGGAAGAAGUUGCAAUUAUGAUCAGAGCAACCGACUCUCAAGGUUGCUAUUUAAGUGUUGUCUGAAGAUGAUUGUUGGUUGAUAUUUAAGCAACUAGCAUUUUUGGAGAAUGAGGAAGAGCUUGAACACCUAGAGCAAAUUGGCAGAAAGAUCGUAAGGAAGUGCAAAAGCUUGACCCUUGUUUCAAAGAUUUUAGGAAAUCUCAUGUGCUUUAAGAAAACCAUAAGGCAAUGGGAAGAUAUGGGAAAUUAGAUAUGCUAAUAGCAGAACUGUCACACCCUUCUUGUUGAGUUAUUAUGAUUUGUCUUCUUGUCUUAGACUAUGUACGGACAGACAAUGACCAAAAUUGGAAACAAUUUGAAGCAGCCUCGCACAUAUGGUGGUGUAGGAAGUAAAAUUUUAGUCACUACAUGAAAGGAAGAAGUUGCAAUCAUGAUGAGAGCAACCAACUAGCAAGGUUUCUAUUCAAGUGUUGUCUGAAGAUGAUUGUUGGUUGACAUUUAAGCAACUAGCAUUUUUGGAGAAUGAGGGAAAGCUUGAACCACCUAGAGGACCAUAGGGAAGUGCAAAGGCCUCCUCUUGUUUCAAAGAUUUUAGGAAAUCUCAUGUGAAAUCUCAUGUGCUUUUAAAAAAACCAUAAGCCAAUGGGAAGAUAUGGAUUAACAAAAUUUUCACACUCUUCUUGUCGAGUUGUCAUGAUUUGUCUUCUUUACAAAGACGUUUCUCAUACUGUUCCAUAUUUCCAAAAAGGCUAUUAUUUAAUUAAGAGAGACGACUUAAUUCAAAUGUGGAUGUCCAAAGGUUUCUGAAGCCAGUAGGAACCUUGAAAAAGAAAGUCAAAAUUGUUUUGAAAAUCUAGUAAUGCGGUCUUUCUUUCAAGAAUUGGAAAAGACUGAUGGAGGUAAAACAGAAUGUUCUAGCAUGAUAGUCGAGGGGUUGAAGAGAAAAUGGUUCUAGAUGAUGGCAAAGCUCGUCCUCGCACAUUUGUAUUGCCUUCAAAGGCCACGUUUCCUACCGCAUCAUUGCACAAUGAAGAGAAUCUGCAGUCACUUUUCAUCUUUGGUGGAGACACAAAUACUACAAAUACCUUGAGUACUCUUGAUUAUAUUUUAAGCCAAUAAGAGAUUAUGGAGCAAGAUAUUGGGAAGUUGAAGCAUUUGGGAUAUCUUGUUUUGUCUACCAAUUAUGACUUGAAAGAAUUACCUGAAAGUCUUGUCAUUUAUGUAAUUUGUGAACAUCUUAUUAGACUGCCUGAAGGGAUAGGAAAACUAAUUAAUUUGAGACAUUUUCUUGUUGAAGGAUGCGAUUUACUUGAAGGGUUCCCAAGAGAAGAGUAAGUAGUCUCGGACAUUAGACUGUUUGCUUGUGCCUGAGGUAAAUAAGGUUGCAUAUUUCAACAUGGGAGAUCUGGAGAAGCUAAAAAACCUUGUACUUGAAGGGUCUCUUUGUGUAAAUAGGUAUGGAAACUUGGAAAAAGUGCAAAAGCUAAAACUCAUGAACAGGAAGAAUAUUGGUAUUUUAAAGCUGCAUUCUGGACAGAUUAAGGAGCAACGGACAAUCAAAACUGAUGUUCUAAUGUUGGAAGCUUUGCAACCAAAUUAAAACCUGAAAUCUUUAGAGGUUUGCAAUUUUAUGGGAACCACCUUGUCACCCACAUGGAUUGCAUCGUUAACUAAUCUUGGAAGUCUUUCCCUGGAGUGUUGCAUUACUGUGAGACGUUAGAAAUGCCGUUGGGGAAAUUUCCACUUCUUGAGUCAGUGUGCAUAAAAUAUAUGCAACGUGUGACAAGGCUGAGUUUAUGGGAAUAUCUAAUACAGAUACACAAGGUGCAAGCAGCGGUAGCAGCAGCACAGGGCUCAGAACAAUAUUUCCUUCCCAAAAUUGCAACAACUUCUUUUUAUCGGAUGGAUCAUUUGUGAGAAUUGACAGGCACUGCAAGAAAUUUAACAACCAUGCCUUGUCUCCAUUCCUUAGAAAUCGUGGAUUGCCUUGGACUUGAAGAACUGCCAGAUUUCAUUCAAAGAAUACCUCUGCAGAAGCUGAUCAUCAGGGAGUGUGGAUUUCUCUCACAUGCUCGCCAAAGGAGGGGAACUCAGUGGUUCAAGAUUUCUCACGUACCAAACAUUCGAAUUGAUUCCAAGGGUGUGAAAAGCCGGCAUUCCGAUUCAGAGGAAAUGUUUUUCAACCGUGAAGUAAAUUGUGCCCGGACAUGAGCUUAUCUAAUGGAAAUUACGCUGAUAAAGUUUUCAACUCUCGUUUCUAUGGAUCUGAAAGGUGCAUGUCAGAAUCAAGAAAGAAACUCUGUUGAAAUUAUUUCUGGUAGAAGAGCCUCAGUUGCGUUUUCUAAAAGUCAACACCACAUCUCACGUAGCUAUAGAUAACGCUAAUGAGUAAAUACUACGCAUUUUUGUUGUACUGCUGCUAUUCAGGUCAAAGGGAAAGAUGGCGUUUCCACCCAAAAUAAAGAGCAUCAUGAGGCGCAGAAUACAUGAUGAUUCCAAUUCAUACUGCUUCAGGAACUAACAGAUGCAGGGUGACAUCAAAAGACAUUGUGACGGUGGUUUUCUCGAGUGUUUAUUUAAUCUCGCACGGUAAAGUAAAUCAUGAAAUUCAAAUUGGCAUGCACUUAAAAAAUGUCUAAACUUCCAUGUACUUAGAACUGUCAAAAAGUACAAAUUUUCAGGUUUGUUAUUGUUCUGUGAUUUCUUUUGCCGAAAUAACAUAUUGAAGUACCGAAAAUUUGGAAACAGAGGACUUUGACUACAGAAAAUAACAAGGCUACAUGGAUUGUACGUAUUCCAACUUCGGGGGAUUACAGAUAAUCAAUUUGUUUGCUAGCAAGUCAUGUGAUUUCUUUUGGUGAAAAUAACAUAAAGGACUAUUUUAUUUUAUGAGCUUAAAGCAUUAUCUAGAAUCGUCAUCGAGGGAACUAUUCCUACAUAUUUUAUUUUGGUCCCUUAAAUUUGUUAAUUUUACCCACUACCUGCUCUCUGUAGUUUUGUUUUUUUAUGUUCGCUGAAAUCUCUGAAUGGAGUUUUAGCCCAUGAAGUAAUGGCUUUCAAUUCAGCCCAAUCGUGACAACAUAUUU